rnacentral:rRNA from 1 species
CCCUUAGAUGCUCUGGGCCGCACGCGCGCUACACUGGUCGAUGCAACGAGUUUCUUUCCUUGGCCGACAGGCCUGGGCAAUCUUUGAACAUCGAUCGUGAUCGGGAUAGAUUCUUGUAAUUUUUGAUCUUAAACGAGGAAUUCCUAGUAAACGCAAGUCAUCAGCUUGCAUUGAUUACGUCCCUGCCCUUUGUACACACCGCCCGUCGCUCCUACCGAUUGGGUGCUCCGGUGAAUUGUUUGGACUGCUGUCAGUCUUUUAGGCUGUUGGCGAGAAGCUCUGUGAACCUUAGCACCUAGAGGAAGGAGAAGUCGUAACA